rnacentral:rRNA from 1 species
CACGUAGGGGGCGAGCGUUGUCCGGAUUUAUUGGGCGUAAAGAGCUCGUAGGCGGCUCGGUAAGUCAACUGUGAAAGCUCCGGGCUCAACUCGGAGAGGCCAGUUGAUACUGCUGUGGCUAGAGUCCGGUAGGGGAGCGUGGAAUUCCUGGUGUAGCGGUGAAAUGCGCAGAUAUCAGGAGGAACACCAGCGGCGAAGGCGGCGCUCUGGGCCGGAACUGACGCUGAGGAGCGAAAGCGUGGGUAGCAAACAGGAUUAGAAACCCCAGUAGUCC